GUGAGGAAUAUUGCGCAAUGGAGGCAACUCUGACGCAGCCAUGCCGCGUGCAGGAAGAAGGCGCUACGCGUUGUAAACUGCUUUUAACCGGGAAGAAACCCCAGGACGUGUCCUGGGUUGACGGUACCGGAGGAAUAAGCACCGGCUAACUUCGUGCCAGCAGCCGCGGUAAUACGAAGGGUGCAAGCGUUAUCCGGAUUCAUUGGGUUUAAAGGGUGCGUAGGCGGAGCGUUAAGUCAGUGGUGAAAUCCUGCAGCUUAACUGUAGACUUGCCAGUGAUACUGGCGCUCUUGAGUGCGCUUGAAGUGGGCGGAAUGUGCCGUGUAGCGGUGAAAUGCUUAGAUAUGGCACAGAACACCAAUUGCGAAGGCAGCUCACUAAGGCGAUACUGACGCUGAGGCACGAAAGCGUGGGGAUCGAACAGGAUUAGAUACCCCAGUAGUCC
rnacentral:rRNA from 1 species